AGAACGAACGCUGGCGGCAUGCCUAAUACAUGCAAGUCGAACGAACUCUUCGGAGUUAGUGGCGCACGGGUGCGUAACGCGUGGGAAUCUGCCCUUGGGUUCGGAAUAACAGUUGGAAACGACUGCUAAUACCGGAUGAUGACGAAAGUCCAAAGAUUUAUCGCCCAGGGAUGAGCCCGCGUAGGAUUAGCUAGUUGGUGAGGUAAAGGCUCACCAAGGCGACGAUCCUUAGCUGGUCUGAGAGGAUGAUCAGCCACACUGGGACUGAGACACGGCCCAGACUCCUACGGGAGCAGCAGUAGGGAAUAUUGGACAAGUGGGCAAAGCCUGAUCCAGCAAUGCCGCGUGAGUGAUGAAGGCUUAGGUUGUAAAGCUUCUUUACCGAG
rnacentral:rRNA from 1 species